AGGAAAAAAUGUGUUUCCACGGCACAGCGCAUUAACAAAGUCACGUACCUUCGCGUUUCUAAACGGAAGGCAGUAAUAUAAGCCUAUAUAUAUAGCAGGCUACGUAGUACACUACAAGGCGCACUACGAGCGCAAAGUAUGUACCUCUCACACCCUCUAUUCUCAAAACAACAAAAUUUUGCAAAAUUUCUCUUUGCUCUCGGCUAGAGCUUCUUCCUUCCUUCCCUCUCCUUCUUAGCCCCUGUGUAGAAGCAAGGCCUGAGCAUCAAGAAACAACAUCUAGAGUACAGCAACCCCUCGAAGUCAGCGUUAACCAAAUUCGCGGCUCCGGUCCUUCAGCCUCUCCCUCCUCGCGAAAGCUAGAGGGGGUGACAUUUUUUGUCAGUAAAACCAGCCCUUCUGUCACCCACGAAGACACUUCGAGGUUUCGGCCUGGCGCCUCAAAGUCAAAGUCCUCAUAGCCUCGCGGUACGACGACAAACAACUCCUUAACCUCCGAC
rnacentral:lncRNA from 1 species